rnacentral:rRNA from 2 species
CAGCCGCCGCGGUAAAACCAGCACCUCAAGUGGUCAGGAUGAUUAUUGGGCCUAAAGCAUCCGUAGCCGGCUCUGUGAGUUUUCGGUUAAAUCUGUACGCUCGACGUACAGGCCGCCGGGAAUACUGCAAAGCUAGGGAGUGGGAGAGGUAGACGGUACUCGGUAGGAAGGGGUAAAAUCCUUUGAUCUAUUGAUGACCACCUGUGGCGAAGGCGGUCUACCAGAACACGUCCGACGGUGAGGGAUGAAAGCUGGGGGAGCAAACCGGAUUAGAUACCCGGGUAGUCCCAGCUGUAAACUAUGCAAACUCGGUGAUGCAUUGGCUUGAUGCCAAUGCAGUGCCGCAGGGAAGCCGUUAAGUUUGCCGCCUGGGAAGUACGUACGCAAGUAUGAAACUUAAAGGAAUUGGCGGGGGAGCAC